CCAAACUUGGUCAUUUAGAGGAAGUAAAAGUCGUAACAAGGUUUCCGUAGGUGAACCUGCGGAAGGAUCAUUAUUGAAAAAUAUUGGUUUGUAUUGUUGCUGGCUUGUAAAGCAUGUGCACAUACUCUCCAUUUUUUUUCUUUAAACCCAACUCAUAAGAUAAAUAAAUACUUUAUGUAUACGUUACGAUACGUAAAUAAAGAUCACUUUCAACAACGGAUCUCUUGGCUCUCGCAUCGAUGAAGAACGCAGC
rnacentral:misc_RNA from 1 species